rnacentral:rRNA from 1 species
CCUACGGGAUGCAGCAGUGAGGAAUAUUGGUCAAUGGGCGAGAUCCUGAACCAGCCAAGUAGCGUGAAGGAUGACUGCCCUACGGGUUGUAAACUUCUUUUAUAAGGGAAUAAAGUGAGGCACGUGUGCCGUUUUGUAUGUACUUUAUGAAUAAGGAUCGGCUAACUCCGUGCCAGCAGCCGCGGUAAUACGGAGGAUCCGAGCGUUAUCCGGCUUUAUUGGGUUUAAAGGGCGCGUAGUGGGUUUGUUAAGUCAGUUGUGAAAGUUUGCGGCUCAACCGUAAAAUUGCAGUUGAUACUGGCAGCCUUGAGUACAGUAGAGGUACGCGGAAUGCGUGGUGUAGCGGUGAAAUGCUUAGAUAUCACGAAGAACUCCGAUUGCGAAGGCAGCUUACUAGACUGCCACUGACAUUGAUGCUCGAAAGUGUGGGUAUCAAACAGGAUUAGAUACCCGAGUAGUC